CGCCGCGGGGGACUACAGCUCCCGGCAGCCGCUGCGCGCCGCCGCUUCCUGCUGCGCUAAGAUGGCGGCUGCCGCGAAGCGUGUGGCGGCGGUGGCGCCGCCGGGCUACGCGGGUAAGGGCUACGCGGCUCUGGCGGUGAAGUUCGGGGAGCGGCAGCGGUCGCCACACUAUCUGUUGGUGAAGGAGCACCAGGUUCGGGAGGGGGCCGGCACCGCGCACCCGGCUCGCCGCACCCUCUUCGUGCUCAACGUCCCCCCGUACUGCAGCCAGGGCUCGCUGAUCAGCCUGUUCGGCCGCUGCGGGCAGGUCCAGGCUGUGCACCUCGGUGACAAGCCAGAGCUGGGAGAGAAGAAAGAAAAGACCCCGUCUAAAUUCUUCACCCCCAAAGCUGUACCGGGGUUUCAAGUGGCGUACGUGGUGUUCAGGAAGCCAUCUGGUGUUCAGGCAGCCAAGGCCCUGUCACAGGAAGGUCCCUUGCUGAUAUCAACAGAGAGUCACCCUGUGAAAACUGGCAUUAGCAAGUGGAUUGCCAACUACGCGGCUUCAGUCGUGGAUCCGGAGGAGCUGAAGGCUGAGGUGGACGACUACAUGCAAGCCUAUGACAAAAAGAUAGCAGAGGAAGAAGCCAAAGCAGCCGAGAAGGAGGGCGUCCCGGACGCGGAGGGCUGGGUGAAGGUGACGCGGAAGGGCAGGAAGCCUGGACUGCCCCGGACAGAAGCUGCCAACCUGCGAGUGCUGGAGAAGGAGAAGCAGAAAAGGGCCCGCAAAGAGCUGCUCAACUUCUAUGCCUGGCAGCAUCGCGAGACCAAAAGAGAACACAUUGCCCAGUUGAGGAAGAAAUUUGAAGAGGACAAGCAGAGAAUUGCGCUGAUGCGAGCCCAGCGCAAGUUUCGGCCAUACUAAGCUGUGCUGAGCUGUUCUUCAGAUGCCUGUGAUGUGGGAAGAGAUGCCAUGUGCCAGAAGAUUUCAAGGAUUUGAGGCAGCUUUGGGGUUUUCCCUACCUUUGGAUCUGAAAUAGAUCCCAGCAACUGCUGCUGGAGGAUGACUUUCCUUAACUUGCACAGGGCUAUAGGGAGGCAGUGAUGGUUGGUUUGGCUUGUGCCUCACUCACAGAAUGAUGAGAACACGAUCCUGGAUCUUCUGCAAGAGCUUCACACACUGCUCCACGGUGAAGUACUCUCGACUCUGCUGCAAGUGCAGAGAGAAUGGCAAAGCCAGACAAAUUCUGUCCAGGGUGAGGGCAGACAGCAAAGGAAAAGGACAGAUGGAAACUCACCUCUCCAGUGCCGCUUCAGGGCUCCGUGCUUUGGGAGCUUGCUUCUUUGCCUCUAGACUCAGCAGUCUGUCAAUCACCGCCCGUCUUGAUUCCAGCCACGCCUCAGUGUCCUUAAACAAAGAAGGGUAGAGAACAGGAGUAAACCUCUUUUGAAGAGGGUAGAAGAGAGCAUUUCACUCUUUAGCAUCCAAUAGAAAUGGUAGCAGUUCUGAGCAUCAUAUUAGAAAUACCUAUUUCUGGGGGAAAAGGGAACAGCAACACUGAAAAGGGCAAGGUAGGAACAGAAAGCUAAGCACUGCUGAAAAACACUGAGUCAAUGUUUACCCUUGCAAUCUUUUGUACCCUUUCCUACUUCACUUUUGAGUUGCGACAAGUGUCCAAAGAACACAGGAAAUCUGGUAGAUUUUGUCUCUGCCUCUGGGCUUCUGUCUCACUUCUGCUAACCAAAGCCCUGGCACCUGGUAGCAAUGAUUGCAGGUUGUAAAUGGAGCUUUGUGUCCUGCCAGGAACAGAAAAAGCAAUCCACCAAUCUGGUACCCAGGUUACCCAACAAGCUGUUGGCAAGAUGACACCCUCAGCUGGCAGCUGCUUAGACAGAGGUUCCAGUUCCUUUUGUACAAAGGCAUGGCACAGACAAGUGAAUUUCAGUGCUAAGUGACUGCAGGAUGUGGAGUGCUACCAAGUGUCCUCCAAGGGCCACCCUAAGCAGAGCCCUUAUGCCACAAAACAAGGAGCAGGUCUGUGCCCUCCAGAAGGAAAAGCCCAGAGACUUGUGUGACCCGACAGGAACUAGUCACAUCAGUGCCUUUUCUGAACAAAGGAAAAGAAAAAUAUCUGUUUGUUUUAAAAAGAGAAGGGAAAGACAUUUGAAAUCUAACCUCUGGAGCUAGCAGAAAGCCAAGAGUUUCCAGCAGGACCAGCUUAUCCACCAUCUCAGGAUAAAGGAAACAGAACUGAGGAGAGAGAAAAUAUGGAAAAAGGAGAAAAGCUGGAUGUUGAAUGAUGUCUUCAUCCUGCUGCCCUGCAGAAGGGGUCAGGGAAGGGCUUCUGCCACCCUGAGAUCCAAGUCCCACACAAUUGGUCCCUUCAUUCUUUCCCCAUUUGUUGUCCCAGGUGCAGAAAUCACAAAUCCUAUGAAGAAAGGAUACUUCACUUACCAUUCCUGCCACAGACCCACCUGCAAAGGAGAAAAGGGUGGUCAGUGACCCACAGGACACCUCCAUACCAGAAAGUCCCUUUCCCCACAGAAGGAGCUGCCUUAGAAGCAGAAGUGCACAUUGUACCAAAGGAUAAAGCCCCAGCCACAGAGUACAGCUCUCAGCAGGCAGAAGGCAGAGAGCUGGGUCAAGAGCCAGCUGAACUCCCGGUUGUGAACCAUCCCCUUUUGCCUCUUAGGCAGCAAAGGCCAUGGAGCAGGUACUAGUUAAAACACUACAGUCUGCACAUCCUGUGAGCUGUGGCUACAGAAGCCCUGGGGAGCAAAACUCAGAUCAUGGUAAGACCUAAUCACACCCCAAGUACAGCUUGGAGUCUUGUUCCCCCCUGCAAGCUUCCACAACCCACCAAGAAGGGUCCUACUGGCCCCAGAUUUUGUUAAUUCUCCUCUAGGACAUCCCUUUUUGCCCAUCACUGGGGGUGGAGGGAAAGGCCCAUAAGAAGUUACCACUAUUUGUACUACAGUGUCUUGAAAGCAAAAGCAUUUCAAAUGAAGGCACAGACUGGUGAAUUGCUCAAGCAGGGACCUGGGGCUCGACACAGUAUAAUAAAUAUUCCAAUCCAGCUCCUAGCAGCAUGUCUUUUAAGUUAAUUAUCUCCUAUUUCCAUGAAUUUCACAGCUUAUAAGGACAAGAGCCACUUACCCAUACUGUGACCCACCAGCGUGAACCGUCUCCACUGUAAGGCUAAGUGGCAACAGACAAAAACAGACAAUGUUGCAUUAGAACCCAGAUCAGCACCAUCUUGCUGCUUCUCCACCAACACAGGCCCCUUCUCCCAGGAGGGCUUUUGCACUGCUUAAUUUGCUUCCUAAUCCAGCAAUGAGGUGGCUAAGUAAUAAGUAGGCCAGAAAAAGAGCAUACACCACUUCAUUUCUUUGGUAGCUAAGUCACACAGCUCUCAAGCUUUCUCUGUAUGGGAAACAAACUAGAGCAAAUUCCCACUCAUUGCCAGACAUGAGACUGGCAGGAAGCAAGGGAGCCCAACUGGGCAACAUCUGCUGGAAUAGAAACCACAACAAAGCAUCCUGCUGCAGGGCAUGCCACAAGAGCUGUGAGGACACAGAGCCAGGUCCUCUGUCUUAAGAAGAGUAUGACCAUUCCAAGUGAAAGCUCCCUCCCUCAUGUAGCACAUCAGGCUCUUCAGUACUGUUUUAGGGGACUUCAGGUGGCUUUUGGGGAAAUACUGCUUCAUCAGAGCUGUCCACCAAAAAUCUCCUUCAUUCAUAAAAGGUAUUUUACCUUUUGGCAUGGAAAAGAACUUCUGGAGACUCUGAAUAAAGGAUGCAAAACUGCAUACAAGAUCAGCACAUAGGCCAGAAGUUAGAUCAGGAGUUAUUAGGAGCCCAAGACACUGCCUUUCAGAUUUUUAUGUUGUGACAAUGAAGCAAACAGCAAGCUGCCAUCAGGAUGAUACUGAAACCAACUUCCACCUGACAAUGGUUAGAGGUCACUGGCUGCUUACAAAAAGUCAUCCAGCAUUUCAUCACUACUGCUCUUCAGUACAGAAACACUUGCCUCCUAGGGCCUGUUGUUUCUUCCUUUCAAAGCAGUCAAAAAGAAGAAUGAUUAUUCAGUUGGUGGCCACAAAGUAUUGGCUAACAUCAUGCUGGGGUGAAGCAGAAAGAACUGAACCCUCUCCUGGCAGUAAAUGCUGUCUUUUUGUUUUAAGGGACAGGACCAAUGUCCCCUCCACAAAUAGCCCAGCAAAGGGCCUUUCAGCUACCCACCUGCUGCCACUCGGCGCACGUCAAUCACAUAGUCCAGGAAAUGGUACGGGACACCUGCAGGACGGUGGGAUGAUAACCCAUGGCCAGAAAAAUCCAUUGCCACAUAAUAGUAACCUGGAAGAGAGAGAAUAUCAGAUGCAUAGUCCUGCCACACAACAGGAACCGUCCUGAUGAGUCAGACUUACCUUUGGGGAGCAGUGGAAUGAGCCUAUCGAAGGUGUUGGCAUUGUCCAGCCAGCCAUGCAAACACAACACAGGGUGCCCCUCUGAGGGUCCCCAGGCCUUGGCUGCCACAUGGCCCCAGGGCACAGGGAACUUCAACUCUGAGAACAUGUCCAAAACAGAGUGCUCACAAGUGAUGUCCCUGAAGAGCUGCGUGCUCAGAAUAGGUCCCAGGGAUCUUGUUAAUGGCCCAGAGCUCUGAAAAGAAUAAUACAGGUCUUUAGUAACUCGCCAGCCUCCCAUGGUCUUAAUUAGCAGCUUGCUGAUUUAUAGCUCCCCAUUCAACAUCCCAAGCUGCCAUCCCUGCCUGCCUGUUUGGGGAAUCCUCCUCCCAGCACGUACUAGCAAUACUCUUAGGAAGAAACAAGCUUUCCCUUUGCAGGAGGAGAAAGCCUCUCAGUGUCUCUGCAGCAGAUGCAGCCUGACCAGAAGGCAGAGAAGAUCUGGCAAGAGGAAUCACACAGAAUCCCCCAGCUAGCUGUAGUCAGCCAGGCACCUGUGUUAGUCCAAAAAGACAAUUCUGGGAAUAAGGAUGCUGCCCCCAGUACUAGACUGUUAUCUUGGUGCUUCUACCCUUUGGCACCACCAGUCGGCACUUCGGAGAGGGCAGCUGGCUACACGUCACACAGCAGGUCACUGCUGCCACCUCCCCGUGCACCACUCAGGGCAAAGGACCCGGCAUGAGAUAUAAAUCUACUAACUGCAAGGGACCCGAUCGACCUCCAGCCUCCCUCGUCACUGCCGGUCUGCCUGGCAGUCUCGGAGCUGACUGUGCUCAACCACCUGCCCCUACUACCACCCAGCCUAAAAGGAUCUUCCAGGGGUAGUUUAAGUAUCAGCCCUUUGCCCCCUCAAGCCCUUCUGACCCCUGAGACUUCUCACCGGCAGGCUGACUGUCCCCAUCCCCAAGUCUCUCAUGCCUUCUUAGCGACUUGUCUCAGGUCUCUGCUCCCUUAAACAGCCCUGAGACCUCACAGCAAUUAAAUCAUUCCACAGCAUGUCCCUCCUGCGCCUACACUGCUGUAAGGUGUGAGGACAGACGGGGCGGGCAGAGAGGGAAGCUGAUGUCAGGGCCCUGACAGCACUUACAAGCCACAGCAGUCCCAGUCAGCACACCUGGGGCCUCCCCUACACCUUCACCUCUUGCCUGUGAGCCUAUUUAAGCUCAGAGCAGGGGCAGGGCCUGCUCUGCUGCAGGGGUGCUGGGCUGAAGCAGCAAUGCCCCGGCCCUAGUGCCCUGCCUGCUGACCACGCGUGGGGCCGCGUCUUACCCUAGCUACCCGACCCUGGCUGCCCUGAGCUGACUUCCCGGCGUGACUGUGCACCUGCCCCUUCCUCACAGACCUGCCUGAGGAGCCGGGCUGCUGGCAGCGCCUGCCUGCCCUCCGGCGGGUCCCAGCCACAGGUCUCCACCGGCUCUGGAGCGAGGGCCUCCCGAGGGUUCUGUGAAGGAGGAGCAGGAAACCAGACCAGAGGUGCUGGGGAGCCACAUGGAUGGAGAGAGGUCAUGGUACCAUCUACAGCUUCUUUCCUGCAACUGUGAGAGGCAAAGAUGAAGAGGAAGAAUAAAAGGCAGAAUGAGCCUAGUGCUUUUAAUGUUUAAGGCAAGGUGGCUGGUACUGUCUAUGAAGUCACCCAGUAAAUGCUAUAAAUAUCCACAGAGGGAAACGGACUCCUUCCUGGGCAACUGUAAAGCAAACCAUUGGAUAUUUUUGAAGCUGCCAUCCAAAAAUACAAAGAAAAGUGUGACAAGCCUCCUUAAAGACAAAAAGUGGAACAGAUGAGCACUGAGUUUCUGCUGUGAUUUAGAGUUCCAGUGGUAGAUCCUCCCACUGAAGCCUCCCUGAAAAAAAGAAGGAAGCACUUUGCCCAGACUCUUGUGGAAGUUCAGAAAUUCAUCUGUGGUCAGCAGCAUCUUCAUGCUUGGUUGAAAGAGAAAACAAGAACCGAUGUCCCAGUACUCGGGGAACUUGUGGAAAGGCUACAGAUCAGAUUCAGUGGUGUGUUUCUGACUGCUUUGUGCUCCCUAGCAAGGCCAAGCAGCUGUAAAGCUUUUAGUAAGCUGCUCACCCCAGAGUUACAGCUGCUUUGCCUCACUGGACUGGCACAGAACAGUCAGAGCAUGUCUGCAUUCAGUGUUUGCCUACAGCUCUUUCAAUAGGGCAUGCAUGCACCAGGAAAUGACCAUGGCAAUCUGGGUGGGCUCUGCAGAAAAGACAUAGGUGAAUGAAAGCUCUGAUGGUACAGCCAAGUCAUAGACUAAUUGCCUUUAACAGCUGCGGGGUUUGUACUGAAUUCCAGAGUUUCUCUUUCCUCUCUGUUCUCUUUGAGCAGUAAAACUUGCUUAUGGGGUGCACUGUGAUGCACUAUUUAUGUCAUAA